CGCACAUUGCGCCCCUUGGUAUUCCGAUGGGCACGUCUGCGUGAACAUCAUUUAUCCACUCGAGCUUGGCUCGGUGAUGGGGACCAUCUCUCUGCAAAGAGAGGUGGCCGCCCGCAAAGUGUCGGCCGUGGUAUCUUUACCUGCAGAGUAGUGAACACGCCUCUGAUCUGGGUACGAGAAUUUGCCCUGAGCCUUACGUAUAAUAUAAAACUUGAUUUCACGUCAGACGAGGUUACCCGCUGAACUUAA
rnacentral:misc_RNA from 1 species